rnacentral:lncRNA from 7 species
ACUCAGUGUGCCCGUGGGGACGUAAGUACUUAAACAGCCUGGAGAUGUUAACAGUGAGUCUCACAUACCACCUAAGGCCGUGUCUGAAGACUGUGUGUGCAAGCCAUUUUAUGAUUCUACGAUUCUGAUUCUGUGAUGAUUGCAUGAAGAGUUCAGCAGGACCUCAGAGAAGUCUCUCAUGAAAGCCUUGAUGCUUUCUACCAGAAGUCAGAAUUUCCUCAAAAUGGAGGGAGAGUCAAUGGAUUGGUCAAGGCAACAGAAGGAAAAUAAGAAUGGAGAUGAGGGUGGCAGCGCUAAAUGAAAUAAGAAGCUAACAACUCAGUGUGUUUUGGAAGUGUGGAAGUAAGGACUAUAUCCUCCACUGAAGCAAAAAGCUAGAGUUGUAAUCAGCACUCCCUCCUUGCACCCAGAAAAUGUUACCCUCUAACUUAAGUUACUGAAUAUAUGUGUAGGGAAACAAGACAAGCCCUCUGCCUUCCCACAGGAAGUCCCCUGAAACCGUCAUGUAAUAUUUUUACCUGCUUCAGAUGCCUUUCGUUUUUCUUAUUUCCUCUGUGACAAGGGCCAGAGCCACUUCCCUACCAUCAGCACCACGAAUCUAACAGCCAGUUCUUAGGAGCGUCUCUGAACUUAAGAGCUCCAGUUAUGGAAGUGGGUUCAGUAUUUCUAGAGAACAGAUAAACAGAUGGGUCUCAACUAGCCCCAGAGCUGUGAACUUGGAAGCUGUUUCAGUACAAGCCUGAACUCUGCCUGGCUCCUAACUUUUGUGCAGGACAAACUGCAUCUAGAUCCUGCCAGAAGGUGAAUGUACUUUUGGUCUGGGAUUGCACGUCACUUCCUUCAUGCAGAAGGCAUCUGAAAUGAGCAUGUGAACCCAGGACUGAAUUUUUAAGGCCUUUCUCCACUGAAGUGUGUGCCCAGCCAGCAAGUAUAUGAAGAGACAUGUUCGAGAGCAGAUGGGCCAAGGUCUGAUUUGUACCUGGUUGGGAUUUCUACAGCAGAGCUGGAUCUCACCUUCGUAGGUCUCUGUCUUACUGCAAGCAUUUCUACUGCCACAGGAGAUGUUUUUCUUCUGUAAAUUAGCUCCCUGCAGGAAACUCUUCAGUUGUUUUGUAGGUGGAUGGACACUCAAGAUGCCCUAUAGGAGGAAGUCAAGUUGCACUUCGCUUUCUCCUGCAGAUGAACAGUGAACACUUCUUAGAAGAGAAGGCAUAACAUGAUUCAUCUCAAUAACCCUCACAUAUGCACUGCUGAAUCUAGACUACGUGCCUCAACUCUCCCUAUGGGCAAUGGGGAGAAGAAGGUCAUUCUGGACAGUCCUGGAGUCCACCCAUUAGCCUGAGGAUGUUUCUUGUGCCCCAGCUGUAAAAUGGGAAGAUUUCACCAAACAUAACCUGGACACUGUGAUGAACAUAGUACUGCAGUCAUUCAGCUGUACAAGCAACUGCUUACAGAACAGCCUUCUGUAUGUACGCAGGUUGUGAUCAUUUAUUAGAGGCAAACUGCUGCCUGCUUUUCUUUGUCCCCCUUUUGUGGCAGGAGGCAUAAAAGCCCAGCUCCUCUUCCUCUUUCCUCGUGACAUUAUUAUGUAAAUCAUCGUAUCACCAAGAAUAAGCACUUUGCCUAUGCCUGAGAAGAGAUGUUAUCUGGGAUUCUCAACUUAC